rnacentral:rRNA from 1 species
AGUGAACGCUGGCGGUAGGCCUAACACAUGCAAGUCGAACGGCAGCACAGUAAUAGCUUUCUCUUACGGUUGUCGAGUGUCGUACGUUUGAUGUAUACAUCGUAAUCUACUUUUUCUUGUGUGUUAACGUAGUGAAACUUACUCUAAUACCUCAUACGACCUACUUUUGAAAUCAUGUGUUCUUCGUACCUUGCGCGAUUGAAUUAGCCGAUGUCGUAUUAGCUAGUUGGCGGGGUAAAGGCCCACCAAGGCGACGAUCCGUAGCUGGUCUGAGAGGAUGAUCAGCAAAAGUGGAACUGAGAAAGGGAAAAGAAACCAACGGGAGGCAGAAGUGGGGAAAAUUGGACAAUGGGCGAAAGACUGAAAAAGAAAUACAGAGAGGGUGAAGAAGGCCUUCGGGUUGUAAAGACCUUUGUUGGGAAAGAAAAGAAGCAGGAUAAUAAAACGAUGUAAUGACGGUAACAAAAGAAUAAGCAACGGCUAACUUCGUG